GACAAAGAAAAUUUUCACAUCCAAGCAACUUAUAAAAGACAUAUGUAUUGUUACUUUUAGAUAUUUGGUUGCAAUUGAGACAAAGAAAAUUCUUGAGAUGGAAGGAGUUUGAAAUCCAUUGCCUCCUUCAUUGCACAACUUUUAUGUAUUGAUUGAAACGACAGGCAGUAGCGAGUCUUCUGACAAAGAAAAACUUAAAGCUUUCUUAAUUCAUGCAAUGGAAGUUGGCUUGGUUUCUGAUGGUGCUCUAGCAUAAGACAUUAACCAAGCAUUAUCAUUUUGGCGUUUACGUGAGGGUUUACCAGAAGCAUUGCAAAAAUCAGGGGAAGUUUACAAAUAUGAUUUGUCUAUACCUGUUGAAAAGAUGUAUGAUCUUGUAGAGGAGAUGCGAACAAGACUUGAUGAAGUCCACGGCUGGCACCCAAGCUUAGCCUUGGCCCCAGAAGUUGAAGAAGAAAGCUUAGAACUUUUUGUUCAUUUCAAGACUUGAUUCUUCUUCUAGUAGUGUGGGUAGUAUUACCUCAG